GUGGGGAAUAUUGGACAAUGGGGGGAACCCUGAUCCAGCCAUGCCGCGUGUGUGAAGAAGGCCUUUUGGUUGUAAAGCACUUUAAGCGAGGAGGAGGCUACUUUAGUUAAUACCUAGAGAUAGUGGACGUUACUCGCAGAAUAAGCACCGGCUAACUCUGUGCCAGCAGCCGCGGUAAUACAGAGGGUGCGAGCGUUAAUCGGAUUUACUGGGCGUAAAGCGUGCGUAGGCGGCUUUUUAAGUCGGAUGUGAAAUCCCCGAGCUUAACUUGGGAAUUGCAUUCGAUACUGGGAAGCUAGAGUAUGGGAGAGGAUGGUAGAAUUCCAGGUGUAGCGGUGAAAUGCGUAGAGAUCUGGAGGAAUACCGAUGGCGAAGGCAGCCAUCUGGCCUAAUACUGACGCUGAGGCACGAAAGCAUGGGGAGCAAACAGGAUUAGAUACCCGUGUAGUCC
rnacentral:rRNA from 1 species